rnacentral:rRNA from 1 species
CUACGUGCCAGCAGCCGCGGUAAUACGUAGGGUGCGAGCGUUAAUCGGAAUUACUGGGCGUAAAGCGGGCGCAGACGGUUACUUAAGCAGGAUGUGAAAUCCCCGGGCUCAACCUGGGAACUGCGUUYUGAACUGGGUGACUAGAGUGUGUCAGAGGGAGGUAGAAUUCCACGUGUAGCAGUGAAAUGCGUAGAGAUGUGGAGGAAUACCGAUGGCGAAGGCAGCCUCCUGGGAUAACUCUGACGUUCAUGCCCGAAAGCGUGGGUAGCAAACAGGAUUAGAUACCCUGGUAGUCCACGCCCUAAACGAUGUCGAUUAGCUGUUGGGCAGCAUGACUGCUUAGUAGCGAAGCUAACGCGUGAAAUCGACCGCCUGGGGAGUACGGUCGCAAGAUUAAAACUCAAAGGAAUUGACGGGGACCCGCACAAGCGGUGGAUGAUGUGGAUUAAUUCGAUGCAACGCGAAGAACCUUACCUUGGUCUUGACAU